rnacentral:rRNA from 1 species
AUUGAACGCUGGCGGCAGGCCUAACACAUGCAAGUCGAGCGGAUGAAGGGAGCUUGCUCCUGGAUUCAGCGGCGGACGGGUGAGUAAUGCCUAGGAAUCUGCCUGGUAGUGGGGGAUAACGUCCGGAAACGGGCGCUAAUACCGCAUACGUCCUGAGGGAGAAAGUGGGGGAUCUUCGGACCUCACGCUAUCAGAUGAGCCUAGGUCGGAUUAGCUAGUUGGUGGGGUAAAGGCCUACCAAGGCGACGAUCCGUAACUGGUCUGAGAGGAGGAUCAGUCACACUGGAACUGAGACACGGUCAAGACUCCUACGGGAGGCAGCAGUGGGGAAUAUUGGACAAUGGGCGAAAGCCUGAUCCAGCCAUGCCGCGUGUGUGAAGAAGGUCUUCGGAUUGUAAAGCACUUUAAGCUGGGAGGAAGGGCAGUAAGUUAAUACCUUGCUGUUUUGACGUUACCAACAGAAUAAGCACCGGCUAACUUCGUG